rnacentral:rRNA from 1 species
AGGCGGGGUAACGGCCCACCUAGCCGACGAUGGAUAGGGGUUCUGAGAGGAAGGUCCCCCACAUUGGAACUGAGACACGGUCCAAACUCCUACGGGAGGCAGCAGUGAGGAAUAUUGGUCAAUGGACGAGAGUCUGAACCAGCCAAGUAGCGUGAAGGAUGAAGGUCCUACGGAUUGUAAACUUCUUUUAUAAGGGAAUAAACCCUCCCACGUGUGGGAGCUUGUAUGUACCUUAUGAAUAAGCAUCGGCUAACUCCGUGCCAGCAGCCGCGGUAAUACGGAGGAUGCGAGCGUUAUCCGGAUUUAUUGGGUUUAAAGGGAGCGCAGACGGGUCGUUAAGUCAGCUGUGAAAGUUUGGGGCUCAACCUUAAAAUUGCAGUUGAUACUGGCGUCCUUGAGUGCGGUUGAGGUGUGCGGAAUUCGUGGUGUAGCGGUGAAAUGCUUAGAUAUCACGAAGAACUCCGAUUGCGAAGGCAGCACACUAAGCCGUAACUGACGUUCAUGCUCGAAAGUGUGGGUAUCAAACAGGAUUAGAUACCCUGGUAGUCCACACGGUAAACGAUGGAUACUCGCUGUUGGCGAUAUACGGUCAGCGGCUUAGCGAA